UACGAAGGGGACUAGCGUUGUUCGGAAUUACUGGGCGUAAAGCGCACGUAGGCGGCUUUUCAAGUCAGGGGUGAAAGCCCGGGGCUCAACCCCGGAAUUGCCCUUGAAACUGGAAGGCUAGAAUCACGGAGAGGUGGGUGGAAUUCCGAGUGUAGAGGUGAAAUUCGUAGAUAUUCGGAAGAACACCAGUGGCGAAGGCGGCCCACUGGACGUGUAUUGACGCUGAGGUGCGAAAGCGUGGGGAGCAAACAGG
rnacentral:rRNA from 1 species